rnacentral:rRNA from 1 species
AACGUACGCUGGCGGCACGCCUAACACAUGCAAGUCGAACGAAGUAGCAAUACUUAGUGGCAGACGGGUGAGUAACAUGUAGGUAUCUGCCCUUUGGCCUGGAAUAACACGAGGAAACUUGUGCUAAUACCGGAUAAGUCUUUACGGAGAAAGCUUUAUGCACCAUUGGAUGAGCCUGCACUUGAUUAGUUUGUUGGUGGGGUAAUGGCCUACCAAGACUGUGAUCAAUAGCUGAUUUGAGAGGAUGAUCAGCCACAUUGGGACUGAGACACGGCCCAAACUCCCACGGGAGGCAGCAGUGGGGAAUCUUGCACAAUGGAGGAAACUCUGAUGCAGCGAUGCCGCGUGAGUGAAGAAGGCCCUUGGGUUGUAAAGCUCUUUCGUCGGGGAAGAAAAUGACUGUACCCGAAUAAGAAGGUCCGGCUAACUUCGUGCCAGCAGCCGCGGUAAUACGAAGGGACCUAGCGUAGUUCGGAAUUACUGGGCUUAAAGAGUUCGUAGGUGGUUGAAAAAGUUAGUGGUGAAAUCCCAGAGCUUAACUCUGGAACUGCCAUUAAAACUUUUCAGCUAGAGUAUGAUAGAGGAAAGCAGAAUUUCUAGUGUAGAGGUGAAAUUCGUAGAUAUUAGAAAGAAUACCAAUUGCGAAGGCAGCUUUCUGGAUCAUUACUGACACUGAGGAACGAAAGCAUGGGUAGCGAAGAGGAUUAGAUACCCUCGUAGUCCAUGCCGUAAACGAUGUGUGUUAGACGUUGGAAAUUUAUUUUCAGUGUCGCAGGGAAACCGAUAAACACACCGCCUGGGGAGUACGACCGCAAGGUUAAAACUCAAAUGAAUUGACGGGGACCCGCACAAGUAGUGGAGCAUGUGGUUUAAUUCGAAGAUACGCGCAGAACCUUACCAACACUUGACAUGUUCGUCGCGACUCUAAGAGAUUAGAGUUUUCGGUUCGGCCGGACGAAACACAGGUGCUGCAUGGCUGUCGUCAGCUCGUGUCGUGAGAUGUUGGGUUAAGUCCCGCAACGAGCGCAACCCUCACUUUUAGUUGCCAUCAUUAAGUUGGGCACUCUGAAAGAACUGCCAGUGAUAAGCUGGAGGAAGGUGGGGAUGACGUCAAGUCCUCAUGGCCCUUACGUGUUGGGCUACACACGUGCUACAAUGGUAUCUACAACAGGAAGCAAGACUGCGAAGUUAAGCAAAUCCCUAAAAGAUACCUCAGUUCGGAUUGCACUCUGCAACUCGAGUGCAUGAAAGCUGGAAUUACUAGUAAUCGUGGAAUCAGCGUGCCACGGUGAAAUGCGUUCCCGGGUCU